UACGAAGGGUGCGAGCGUUGUCCGGAAUCAUUGGGCGUAAAGGGCGCGUAGGUGGCCCGGUCAGCGUGCGGUGAAAGCUCGGGGCUCAACCCCGAGUCGGCCGUGCGAGCUGCUGGGCUUGAGCACUGUAGAGGCAGGCGGAAUUCCGGGUGUAGCGGUGGAAUGCGUAGAGAUCCGGAAGAACACCGGUGGCGAAGGCGGCCUGCUGGGCAGUGGCUGACGCUGAGGCGCGAAAGCUAGGGGAGCGAACAGG
rnacentral:rRNA from 1 species